GUUUGGUGGUCUCCUCACACAGACGCAUGUAACAUUUGGUGCUGAAACCCAAGACAGGGGACUCCUUCAGAAGACCAGCCCCCUGUCCUCACCCUCAGUCCGGGAGGAGAUCCACCUACGACCUCGGGUCCUCAGACCAGCCCAAGGAACAUCUCACCAAUUUCAAAUUGGGACCCCACUGGAAGUCGGACCAUCCAACUUGGAUUACAGCUGCUCCUAGACCUACUGGAGCAAAAAGCUAAGGCUCCUGGCUGAUUCCUUCCCAGAUCUCCUCGGCUUAGUGGCUAAAGACUGACGCUGCCAAAUCAUCUCGGAAGCCCCCUGGACCAUCACGGAUGCCGAGCUUCGGAUAACUCCUACAGUGGAGGACAGGAAUGUCAGGCCUGUGAGCCCAAAGUAAGCCAUCAUAACCCCUGUGACCUGCAUGUAUACGUCCAGAUGGCCUGGAGCAACUGAAGAACCACAAAAGAAGUGAAACAGCCAGUUCCUGCCUUAACUGAUGACAUUCCACCAUUGUGAUUUGUUCCUGCCCCACCCUAACUAAUCAAUCGACCUUGUGACAUUCCUCCCCUGGACAAUGAGUCUCAUGAUCUCCCCACCCUGCACCUUGUGUCCCCCAUCCCUGCCUGUAAGAGAUAACCACCUUUAACUGUAAUUUUCCACUACCUACCCAAAUCCUAUAAAACUGCCCCACCCCUAUUUCCCUUUGCUGACUCCUUUUUCGGACUCAGCCCACCUGCACCCAAGUGAAUAAACAGCCUCAUUGCUCACACA
rnacentral:lncRNA from 1 species